ensembl:lincRNA
AUGGUUGAUACUGAAGGACUUGACACAGCAGGCACUCAUUUCUGCGUUCUUCGCAGCCUUGUUUUCUCUUUCAGGACCACAGAACCAGGACUGACCUUGGUCUUUGAAGUUCUUUGCUUGCUGAGAGUAGCAGGAAGUGAAGAACAACACUGUGACUGGAAAUCUGCAGGAGACGGUGGGAGAGCUCGUGCCCUAAGUGCACGGAAACCGAGGCUUGCUUCCCGCUCCUGUCCGGGGUAUUUCCGGCGCUGCUGGGCGGAAGCAGGAAGGGCGAGGAGACCGGACCCCUGGCCUGGGAGAUGAGCCCAGGGCGAGCUCCAGCUGGGCCGUGCCUCAUCUGCGCAGUCUGAGAAGCAGCAGUGGCCACAGAAGGACUCUGGAGGACCUUCUGCUGCGUCCUGGGAAUGGGCCGGGGAAAGGUCCACCCUGCUCUCCCUCCAGCGGUGGAUUACACCAACGCCUAAGUGGUGAGAGAACAGCUAAGUCUUGCUAUCUCUUGGCAGAGGUGUACAGCGUCACAGAGCAUCGGUGUGGGUCUAGGUUGCUCCGUGGUCAUGACGGUUCAAAAGAGGACCAAGAGCACUCCCUAGCUGUGUCAGAAUAAAGACCACACGUGGACAUAUGUGAGAGCUGAAAUGACAGACACUUUCCUCUGGUGGGUGAAACGAGUGAUGGCUGAUUCCCUCUCUGUUGUAGCUCUAGCUUGCUUUGUUAUAAGAAGGACUUAUUAAGAUAUGCAUUUAUAAAAUUGUUCCUGCUUUCUGACAGUGCCAAAUCUAGAGAGAAUGUUGCAUCCUGGGCCCCCUACCCCAAAGCAUCCAAAGUCCAAAACUCCUUCCUAACAUCCUCAUGUGGAGACACCACCAUGUACAAUGUGUUACAGGUGUUCUUUGACUUGAGCGCAUUGACCGUGGACAGAAAGUUGGGAUUAUACAUGGGUAAUGAAAAUAUAUAGUGAGGGGCUGGGGAUUUAGCUCAGUGGUUCCACCACCUGCCUUGAAAGCACAAGGACCUGUGUUUGAUCCCCGGUACCCCCAAAAAGAAAGAGAGAAAAGAGAAAUACAUAUAUACUGAGGGCUGGGAUUUAGUUCAGCAGCACAGUGCCUGGCUGACAAGUACAAGGUCCUGAGUUUGAUACCCGGUACUCGAUCCCUUUAAAAUACUCACCCCGCCUCCUGCCUCCGCCACACUUACUUCACUGUGCCUGCCACUUUCUGAAGCAGUUCUGGAAGUGCUCUUUCGUGAGUGUCGUUAGCAGGUGUGAUGAAAAAGUGUGGUGAAUGCUGCUGCUGAGUGUCAUCCAAUGGACAGGCAGCUCAUUAAGACGUUACAGCGCGUCCUCACCCAGCUUAUUCACUGGGUCUGGCACCAUGGGACUCCCGGCUCUUCCUCAAAGUCAAAAGGACCAUGACAGGUAAAUGUCUGAAUCAAUUCAGGACGUCAAGGCAGCCGGGACAGCACGACUAAUGACACUCACAGAAGCGCUUCAGAAAGUCACAAGAGUGAUGGAAUAAAAGUGUUCGAGAUGAGCAAGUUGAAUAGAAAUGUGUCUUUUAUUAUAUAUUUAAAAAAAUUAAAAACGUUUUUGAUCACAC